rnacentral:snoRNA from 1 species
AGGUCAUUUCAAAGAGAGCUUGUGGGAUCAAAACCACGAGCUCUUAACGCUGUGACCAAAGACUGAAGUUCUCCAUAGGAUGUAGUAGUCACUCAAUAGUGCUGUUUUCUUGAGGAGAUACAUAA